AGAAUUUGAUCUGGUUCAGGAUGAACGCUAGCUACAGGCUUAACACAUGCAAGUCGAGGGGCAGCAUGGUCUUAGCUGCUAAGACCGAUGGCGACCGGCGCACGGGUGAGUAACGCGUAUCCAACCUUCCCCUUAGUAGGGCAUAGCCCGUAGAAAUGCGGAUUAAUACCCUAUGUUGUAUAUUGAGGACAUCUGAUUUAUACCAAAGGUUCACCGCUAAGGGAUGGGGAUGCGUCUGAUUAGGUUGUUGGCGGGGUAACGGCCCACCAAGCCUACGAUCAGUAGGGGUUCUGAGAGGAAGGUCCCCCCACAUUGGAACUGAGACACGGUCCAAACUCCUACGGGAGGCAGCAGUGAGGAAUAUUGGUCAAUGGACGAGAGUCUGAACCAGACCCAAGUAGCGUGCAGGAUGACGGCCCUAUGGGUUGUAAACUGCUUUUAUACGGGGAUAAAGUGAGGGACGCGUCCUUUUUGUAGGUACCGUAUGAAUAAGGACCGGCUAAUUCCGUGCCAGCCGCCGC
rnacentral:rRNA from 1 species